ACCCAGUAGCUGUAGCUCAGUGGUGGAGCUAAGGCUUUUCAUGCAAAUGGUUCUGGGUUCAAUCCCUGGGAGGGGUG